rnacentral:lncRNA from 9 species
AAGGCAGGGCUAGACUGUAGUUCCAGCUAAUAUGUGCAUCUCAGCUGCAUGUGCCUCAUCUCCCUGUAUCUACAUGAGUGACUUUUGCAUGGCUAAAAAGUCUUUUUUGAUGCAGCUUUUCCUGUCUUGUUUGCUUAUAGAGAAACCAUGAUCAGGAAGGUAGUUUAUACCAGAGUGGAGUUAGUGCCAUUUUCCAAACACUGAAAACUCCACCAAACAUUUGGUAGUAUAAAGAAACUGUGCACUUCCUUGUGGAAAAGUAAAGCCCUUUCAUUCUUGGCUUCUUUUCGGACUUCCAAAUGUAACUCCCUUCAUAGUUGCCUUGGUGAUUUUUUUGCUCAUCUGUCAUUGCAGGUGGUCCCUAUUCUUCACCUGUUUCCUCUUCCUCCAUUAUUUACUGAGUGACUUGACCUGUGAUAAUAUAAACACAAGAAGGGCUCCAGAAGUCAUGGAUAACUAUUGGCUGAUGGUGAUAAAAAGCUUUCCUAUAAGAAAUUCCACUUUGGUUCCCAAAAAGACAUCCCAAAGGAAAGUACACUACAAGAAGACUAUGCAUGAUACAAACCUAAAAGACAAGAGUAACAAGGAUGACGCUGAUAAGGGAGGCUCUGGUCAAAUGAUAAAGGACCUGUGUUCCAUGCUAAGGAAACAGAAAGUAUUGAGGGUUUGAGCAGUGUAGAAAAUGAUCAAAUCUAUGUUCUGAAAUCACUCUGGUGCCUAGGAUAGUGGAUAAGAGUUUGGAGAAAUGAGAGACUGGAGGAAUAAUUUGGAAGUCAAAACAGGAGCUUCAACAGCCAGAGUUGGAAAUAUAGAUGUUCUAAUGGGGAAGGGAGAGAAGAAAUGGCAAGAUCUAUUUUCAGCUAUCUUUGCAAGGUGACAAAAGUCAAAGCGGUCGAAUCCUCUGGAAUCUUGUAUAUUUCUAUCCUACAGGAUGCUAUGCUCACAUACUGUUGACUGAAGCUUUAUGUAAUAAAGCCUCAGCAUAAAAAAGCAACAAAAACCAAAAAAAAAAAAAAAAUAGUAGACCUCAAAGAACCUCACCAAAGAGUAGAAAAAUAACUUUGGGAAAUACACUACCAGGAUAAAGUCUGAGGGUCAGGGAAGCAGGGGGAUAUAUAUAAAUCUCAAAGGAAUACAGAAUAGUCAAAAGUUUUCCAGUCCUGAGUGAUUUAAAGGACAAUCAGAUAGCAAUUUAAAAGGUAGCAGACUCAGAUUCAAGAAAGAGAAUAUAACGCAUUUCACUUAGCUAAUCAGUGGCAAAAUGUUUUAUAAUUUUUUACUAUUAUUAUUUACAGAUACAACUGAGAAGCACAGAGGUAGACUGUCAAACAGUGGUUGAACAGUUAUUGGAAAACAGGACUAGAUAAUGAAUAAAGUGUCAGAAAAGCUCAUCAUGUUGAUUUGUUUGGACAUUUCUGUAAUAAUGAUGAUGAUAACAAUAUUUUUAUUGUUAUUAAUACUUCAACAUACCAUAAAUUAUCAAAGGUUUAUCAAAGUAUUGAUUGAUAAACCCAUGGAGCCAUUGGCAAACUCUUUCUGUUUUGACUGGUACUUGUGAGAACAUAUACAUUUCCUCAAACACUGAUGGAAAAGAGAUGGAAAAGACAAUCCCGUUUUCUUUGAAAGUAUGGAGAAGGAACACUUAAUUUGAGGAAAGAAUAAAGAGAAGCAUAGGUUACAUUUUCAGAAUAGGCAAAUCCUGGAAAAGUGUGUUAGCAAAGGAAAUGCCAGAUAUGUUACUCUAUGCCAAGAAAAAAGACAAAUUGAUGCUCUAAUAUUAUCUAAUCCGUAGCAAGCUGAUUGGCUAUAAAAGGGGUUUUCACUUUAUUUAAAAGGAAAUGACUACCUCAUUUUAAUUUACUGAAUUUCAUUUAUCACACACAAAGAGCCCCUUAAAUUUAUUAUAUAACACCUACAAAGAACACAUCUGUAAAGGACCCAUCUAAGCUUACAAGUAUCAGGAAUAAUCUCUUUAUGUCUUUCCUUUUUUACAGCAUUUCAUACUGACAUGCUCAUCGAAUUUCAGUGGUUUGAAUUUACCAUGUGUAUAUACCUCAAAUGUGAUAAGAUGUAAAAUGCAUACAUACAACCUAGAGGUAAGAAAGUGAUGCUUAAAGGUUAGACUGAAUUAAAAAAAUAAAAAGGAGAAGCUCCUGCUGUGGCACAGGAGAAACAAAUCUGACUAGUAUCCAUAAGGAUGUGGGUUUCAUCCCAGGCCUUCCUCAGUGUGCUGGGGGAACUGGUGUAGCCAUGAGCUGUGGUAUAGGUUGCAGAUGAAGCUCAGAUCCCACGUUGCUAUGGCUGCGCAUUUAAAAAAAAAAAAAAAGGAAAACAUGGCAUGGCCAACUUAAAAACAGGAUAAGAAAAAUGUGAAAAUCAGAGAGUGAUGCAAAAUAACUCUUUCUAGCAUAUACGAUGCAGUGAAAAUUUGAUUAAAAUGUGUUUUAAGGAAUGGUUCAAAAUUUUAGUCCAGGUUUCACUAGUGAUUCAAAAACUAACCUUAUACAUGCCGUGUAACUCAGUUUGUUCAUCUACCUAAAAAGUACAAAUAUUCUUGGAAACAGAGAGUAAACCAUAUAAAGUCAUCAGGUAUUAAAAUGCAUUUGGGAGGCCUUUGCCAGUUGAGAGUUUUGAAAUUCUAGAUGCAAUACAAGAUCCAAAAAGAAAAAAUAAAUUGUCUUCUGCUGGCCUAGCACAGUAAUCUAAGUAUUCAUCUCCCAGCUAAAUACUCAGAUUAUCUUUCUAUAGCUAUCUAAAUUUCAUUAUAUGAAGACAUUUUCUCAUUUUCCUGAUAAAAUUUAUUUUUAUCAACUACCAUACAGUUUGAAUUUCCAUAACCUUUGCAAUCUCAACACCAAAGCAAAAUUACUUCCAACUAGUCAUAAACUGAGGAAGGCAAAAAGAUUAGCAGGAGAUGAGGAAAGGGCUUUGCUGUGGAAUUUAUUAUCUUAAAUGCCAAUGGUUUUAGUUCCCAGAUAGCUUGAGUAUGAUGUGAUUUAUCAUAUCCAGUACCAUGAGGAGUGUAGAGAUUUUACUAAAUUCAGAGAGAUAAAGCAUAAAACAAUAACUAC